rnacentral:rRNA from 1 species
AACCAAACAGCUAGCCCCACCAAACAACAUCAAAUCACCAAUAUCAAUAACCCCUAAAACACAACCCAAUCAUAAAACAAACCAUUUUUCCACCCUAGUAUGGGCGACAAAAAAGGAACCAGGAGCUAUAGAGAGAGUACCGCAAGGGAAUGCUGAAAGAGAAAUGAAACAAACCAGAAAAGUUAAAAAAAGCAGAGCUUCAACCUCGUACCUUUUGCAUCAUGAUCUAGCCAGACAAACACAAGCAAAGAGCACUGUAGUUUGACACCCCGAAACUAAGUGAGCUACUCCAAGACAGCCUAUUUCAGGGCAAACCCGUCUCUGUGGCAAAAGAGUGGGAAGAGCUUCGAGUAGAGGUGACAGACCUACCGAACUUAGUUAUAGCUGGUUGCCUAAAAAUUGAAUUUAAGUUCAGCCCCUUGGCUUCUCCAAUCAUUUAAUCCCAUUUUAUCCGACACUUAAAGAAACCAAGAGAGUUAGUCAAAGGGGGUACAGCCCCUUUGAACCAAGAUACAACUUUUCCAGGAGGAUAAAGAUCAUAAUGAUUAAGGAAAAAUGUCUUAGUGGGCCUAAAAGCAGCCAUCUAAACAGAAAGCGUUAAAGCUCGAACAUAAUAAACCCCCUAUAAUCCAGAUAACCUAAUCUUAUUCCCCCGCACCUAUUAGGCUAUUUCAUGCAAACAUGAAAGAACUAAUGCUAGUAUGAGUAAUAAGAGGGGUCAGCCCCCUCUCUCUCCGCACGCAUGUACAUCGGAACGGACUACCCACCGAAAAUUACCGGCCCCCAAAAAAGAGGGAACUGAGCAACAAACAAACAACUAGAAAACCACCCAAAAACAACCGUUUAGCCCACACUGGCGUGCCUACAAAGAAAGACUAAAAGAAAAAGAAGGAACUCGGCAAACUCCCCAAGCCUCGCCUGUUUACCAAAAACAUCGCCUCUUGUAUACCAAAAAUAAGAGGUCCCGCCUGCCCAGUGACAUAAUGUUAAACGGCCGCGGUAUUUUGACCGUGCAAAGGUAGCGCAAUCACUUGUCUUUUAAAUGAAGACCCGUAUGAAUGGCACAACGAGGGCUUAACUGUCUCCUUUUUCAAGUCAAUGAAAUUGAUCUCCCCGUGCAGAAGCGGGGAUAAAACCAUAAGACGAGAAGACCCUAUGGAGCUUUAGACAAUAGGGCAGCCCUUGUCAAACACCCUAAAACAACAGACAAAACCAAAAGGGGCCUGCCCAAAUGUCUUUGGUUGGGGCGACCGCGGGGAACAUAAAACCCCCAUGUGGAACGGGAGCACCUCUCCUACAACCAAGAGUUACAACUCUAAGCACUAGAACUUCUAACCAAAAGAUCCGGUAAAACCGAUCAACGAACCGAGUUACCCUAGGGAUAACAGCGCAAUCCCCUUUAAGAGUCCAUAUCGACAAGGGGGUUUACGACCUCGAUGUUGGAUCAGGACAUCCUAAUGGUGUAGCCGCUAUUAAGGGUUCGUUUGUUCAACGAUUAAAGUCCUACGUGAUCUGAGUUCAGACCGGAGUAAUCCAGGUCAGUUUCUAUCUAUGAUAUGCUUUUUUCUAGUACGAAAGGACCGAAAAAAGGAGGCCCAUGUUUCAAACACGCCUCUCCCCCACCCAAUGAAAACAACUAAAUUGGGCAGGGGGGCAUACCCCCUAGCGCCUUAUACAAAGGC